AGCAGUAGCCGCGGUAAUACGAAGGGGGCUAGCGUUGUUCGGAAUUAUUGGGCGUAAAGCGCACGUAGACGGCUCAGCAAGUCAGGGGUGAAAUCCCGGGGCUCAACCCCGGAACUGCCCUUGAAACUGCUAGGCUAGAAUCUUGGAGAGGCGAGUGGAAUUCCGAGUGUAGAGGUGAAAUUCGUAGAUAUUGGGAAGAACACCGGUGGCGAAGGCGGCGACCUGGUCCUCGACUGACGCUGAGGCGCGAAAGCGUGGGGAGCAAACAGGAUUAGAUACCCCAGUAGUCCCUGUCUCUUAUAC
rnacentral:rRNA from 1 species